CAACUUUCAACAACGGAUCUCUUGGCUCUUGCAUCGAUGAAGAACGCAGCGAAAUGCGAUAAGUAAUGUGAAUUGCAGAAUUCCGUGAAUCAUCAAAUCUUUGAACGCAAAUUGCACUCUUUGGUAUUCCGAAGAGUAUGCUUGCUUGAGGGUUGGAU
rnacentral:rRNA from 4 species